CGCGAAAGUUCCUUCGGGGAUGAGUAAAGUGGCGCACGGGUGAGUAACGCGUGGGUAAUCUACCAUAAAGUUUGGAAUAACGGCUGGAAACGGUCGCUAAUACCGGAUACGCUCUGGAUUUUAUCAUCUGGGGGAAAGGGGGCCUCUGCAUAUGCUCCUGCUUUGUGAUGAGCCCGCGUCCCAUUAGCUAGUUGGUAGGGUAAAGGCCUACCAAGGCAACGAUGGGUAGCCGGUCUGAGAGGAUGACCGGCCACACUGGGACUGGAACACGGCCCAGACUCCUACGGGAGGCAGCAGUGGGGAAUAUUGCGCAAUGGGCGAAAGCCUGACGCAGCGACGCCGCGUGAGGGAUGAAGGCCUUCGGGUCGUAAACCUCUGUCAGGGGGGAAGAAGUGUGCUUGUGCUAAUCAGCAGGCAUUUGACGGUACCCCCAAAGGAAGCACCGGCCAACUCCGUGCCAGCAGCCGCGGUAAUACGGAGGGUGCGAGCGUUAAUCGGAAUUACUGGGCGUAAAGAGUUCGUAGGCUGUUUGGUAAGUUAGGGGUGAAAUCCCGCAGCUCA
rnacentral:rRNA from 1 species